rnacentral:tRNA from 1 species
GCGCGCUUGGCACAGUGGUAGCGCACUUCCUUCACACGGAAGGGGUCGCAGGUUCGAAUCCUGCAGCGCGCACCA